rnacentral:lncRNA from 1 species
UCCGGUUGGCACUGUUGAAAGUUGAUGGCUGGAGAGGUACGGAAGACAUCGGAGACAGUCGGUCACUGUAGAAAUCCGGCUACUGGAGCCCGUCCAUUGUAGAAGUUCAUCUGGAAUCCAUCCGCUGUAGAAGUUCGGAUGGAGUUCGGUUCUUGCAGAAGUCUGGAAGGAGGCUGCUUACUGUAGAAGCUUGAAUGGAGAUCGGUUGCCAUGGAAGUCCGGA